GUGAUUAACAGAAAGGAAGAGAGUGGGAGAGAGGGAAGAGGUAAACAUAGUGAUUAACAGAAAGGACGAGACAGUGGGAGAGAGGGAAGAGGUAAACAGAGUGAUUAACAGAAAGGAAGAGACAGUGGGAGAGAGGGAAGAGGUAAACAUAGUGAUUAACAGAAAGGAAGAGACAUUGGGAGAGAGGGAAGAGGUAAACAUAGUGAUUAACAGAAAGGAAGAGACAGUGGGAGAGAGGGAAGAGGUAAACAUAGUGAUUAACAGAAAGGAAGAGAGUGGGAGAGAGGGAAGAGGUAAACAGAGUGAUUAACAGAAAGGACGAGACAUUGGGAGAGAGGGAAGAGGUAAACAUAGUGAUUAACAGAAAGGAAGAGACAUUGGGAGAGAGGGAAGAGGUAAACAGAGUGAUUAACAGAAAGGACGAGACAGUGGGAGAGAGGGAAGAGGUAAACAGAGUGAUUAACAGAAAGGACGAGACAGUGGGAGAGAGGGAAGAGGUAAACAUAGUGAUUAACAGAAAGGAAGAGACAGUGGGAGAGAGGGAAGAGGUAAACAGAGUGAUUAACAGAAAGGAAGACAGUGGGAGAGAGGGAAGAGGUAAACAGAGUGAUUAACAGAAAGGACGAGACAGUGGGAGAGAGGGAAGAGGUAAACAGAGUGAUUAACAGAAAGGACGAGACAGUGGGAGAGAGGGAAGAGGUAAACAGAGUGAUUAACAGAAAGGACGAGACAGUGGGAGAGAGGGAAGAGGUAAACAGAGUGAUUAACAGAAAGGAAGAGACAG